ACUAGGGAUAGAUACCCUAUUAUAAUAAUAUAAAAUUUUAGCUUAAUUAGUAUAAGAUAUAUUCUGGAAAAUUAAAAAAUUUGGCGGUAUUUUAGUCUGUUCAGAGGAACCUGUUCUAUAAUUGAUAAUCCACAAUUUUAAAAAUUUACUUUUUUAAUUUUCAUAUCGUCGUAAUUGAAUAUUUUUGGAGAAUUUAAUAUUCAGAAUUUAUUUUUUAAAAUAAAUCAGAUCAUGGUGUAGUUUAUAGGUAAAGAGAAAUGGGUUACUUUUGUUUUAAUUGGAAUUUUAGUUGUUUAAGAAUUAAUUUUUAGGAUUUGACAGUAAAUUAAAUUAUAUAAUUUAGUUGAUUUAGGCUCUAAAAUAUGUACAUAUCGCCGGGUCGC
rnacentral:rRNA from 1 species